AGUCGUCCUUGUUCGUUCUGUCUAACUGUUCAAUGAAAAAUCGUUGUCCAAAUUUAACAUUUGUCUGUUCGUUCCUCUUGUCUUUUUGCAAUAUUUACUGUUUUGAUUUGCAUUUAUUAAGUAAGAUACUCCAAUCGGAUGAAUAUUUAUUUAUUUGAACGAAAACUAAGCUUGAAAAUAUUAUAAAAUGAGCCUCCCAGCGAUUCCGUCUCAGUGUCGAGUAUUUAAGGAGUCGCUAAUUGUAGUUAAAGAAGCAAUGGGCGGCGCAUCUAGUCAACAUAUGAAAGAAAAGAGUAUGGGCUAUAAUUUUGGAAAAUAUCUUUCGAAAAAGCGAGGGAUCACACGUCGCCGUCGGAGACAAUUCAUUGCCAACCGAAACUUUCGCAGAUACGUAAGACUUCUAUUGAAAAGGAUACAUCCAGGGCAGAAAUUAUCAAAGAAUGCCAUGAAUGUGAUGAACAAUUUCAUGAAUGAUAUGCUCGAUCGCAUUACGCAAUGUGCCUCACAACUGACGGUUUACGCCAAGCGGAAAACUCUAAGACCUAUCGAUAUUCAAGCUGCGUGUAAAUUGGUACUUCCUCCGAAUCUGAGGUCACAUGCCCAUUUCGAGGGAGCGAAGGCUGUGGUGCAAUUUGAUAACGCUAAAACUAAAGGAAGGUCUCGUUACCAUUAGAGGAAGUUGGAUGAUGUCAAGACUAUAGUCUUUUGGCAGAUUGCUUUAAUUGUAAUCUUGUUUUUGGAGUCUUACCUUGUCUGAUUAUCAUCGUUCCAUUGGAUCGUUUCUUCCACAAAGCAUAGCAGAAAUCAAACCCAGGCUUGCAUUCCACUUGCGCAGGCUGAAAAUAGAGAAAGAUACCUUGAGUGAACCUAGUUCUU